CUCCACGUUAAUGAAUCCCAAAUAUUCGACCAAAAAUGAAUAAUCGAAGGAAAUCCAAACCUUAUAAUAUUGAUAUCUACUGUUGGUUCUUCCAAGUUGCAACUGUCUUAAGUUUGACCUCAUUAGUCAUGUGGCUUUGUUUGAUUCCAAGAAAUCCAAUUUUCACUCUUGUUGAUUUCUCCUUUCUUGAGUUGAACGUUAAGAAUUCUUCUCUCCACGGCGACAACAAUUCUGAAGAAAUUCUACACAAGGGAUUUACCAAGGCCACAAAAACAUUGCAAAAAAGGAAGUGCAAAUGUAUAAUGUUGAUGAGCUAUUUUGGCAAGGAAUUGGCAGUGGAAGUAUAGAUUUCGUAGUUCGUUUGGAAACAAAAGUUAAGUUUAAGAUAUUCAAAAGGAGGACGAAGCUACGAGAGAUAAAUUAUGUAGCAUAUAUUAGUAAUAUGACGAUGAGUUCUAAUGGAACUAUAUCUGGUGAAAAGCUUGUUGAAUUGUA